rnacentral:rRNA from 1 species
GAUGAACGCUGGCGGCGUGCCUAAUACAUGCAAGUCGAGCGAACAGACGCGGAGCUUGCUUCUCUCAUGUUAGCGGCGGACGUGUGAGUCACACGUGGAUAACCUACCUAUCAGUCUGGUAUCACUACGGAACACCGGCGCUUACCCCGUAUAAUAUUUUGCACCGCGGUGUUCAAAGGUAAGAUACGGUCUUGCUGGCACUUAUCGAGGGAUCCGCGCUGCAUUAGCUAGUUGGUAAGGUAACGGCUUACGAAGGCAACGAGGCAUAGCCGACCGGAGGGGCGGAUAGGCGACACUGGAACUGAGCCAGGGACCAGACUCCUACGGGAGGCAGCAGUCGGGUAUCUUCCGCAAUGGGCGAAAGCAUGACGGAGUGACGCGGCGUGAGUGAUGAAGGUGUCCGGAUCGUAAAAAUCUGUUAUUAGGGAAGAACCGAUGUGUCAGUAACUGUGCACAUCUUGACGGUACCUAAUCAGAAAGCCACGGCUAACUACGUG